AACGUAGGGGGCAAGCGUUGCCCGGAUUCACUGGGCGUAAAGCGGGUGUAGGCGGUCCUUUAAGUCAGAUGUGAAAUCCUGCGGCUCAACCGCGGAACUGCAUCUGAUACUGGGGGACUUGAGGACGGUAGAGGUCGGUGGAAUCCCCUGUGUACCGGUGAAAUGGGCAGAUAUAGGGGGGAACACCAGUGGCGAAGGCGGCCGACUGGGCCGAUCCUGACGCUGAGACCCGAAAGCCAGGGUAGCGAACCGG
rnacentral:rRNA from 2 species